UACGUAGGGGGCGAGCGUUGUCCGAAUUUACUGGGCGUAAAGAGCGCGUAGGCGGGUUCUUAAGUGAGAGGUGAAAGGUUCAGGGCUCAACCCGAACAGUGCCUUUCAUACUGGGAGCCUUGAGUGUGGGAGAGGCGAGUGGAAUUUCUGGUGUAGCGGUGAAAUGCGUAGAUAUCAGAAGGAACACCCAUGGCGAAGGCAGCUCGCUGGCCUACAACUGACGCUGAGGUGCGAAAGCGUGGGGAGCAAACAGG
rnacentral:rRNA from 1 species